GGACCUGACUGCUAUCGGAUUGAUACUAAGCCAUGCGAGUCAUUGUAGCAAUACAAGGCAUACGGCUCAGUAACGCGUAGUCAACCUAACCUAUGGACGGGAAUAACCUCGGGAAACUGAGAAUAAUGCCCGAUAGAACAUUAUGCCUGGAAUGGUUUAUGUUCCAAAUGAUUUAUCGCCGUAGGAUGGGACUGCGGCCUAUCAGUUUGUUGGUGGGGUAAUGGCCCACCAAGACUAUUACAGGUACGGGCUCUGAGAGGAGUAGCCCGGAGAUGGGUACUGAGACACGGACCCAGGCCCUAUGGGGCGCAGCAGGCGAGAAAACUUUGCAAUGUGCGAAAGCACGACAAGGUUAAUCCGAGUGGUUUCUGCUAAAGAAACCUUUUGUCAGUCCUAGAAACACUGAUGAAUAAGGGGUGGGCAAGUUCUGGUGU
rnacentral:rRNA from 1 species